UCCUGGGGAUACACAGGCACUCGCUGUGAUUGAAAACUCAGUGCAGAGAAGGUUGGCAUGGCCCUACACGAGGAUGACGCACAAAUUCGUGAAGUGCUCCAUGUUUUU
ensembl:snRNA U6 U6 spliceosomal RNA